GCACGGGUGGUCUAGUUGGUUAUGACGACUGGUUUACAUACCCAGUAGGUCGGGAGUUCGAUUCUCUCCCUGUGUA